rnacentral:lncRNA from 1 species
CAUACAGGAUAAAUUGGAAAUUAUCAACAGAGAAAAGGCACUAGAAUAUCAUAUUAUUAGUUUCUUGUGUAGUUCUAUAUAUUUUAUUUUAUGUCUUUAAAAAUAAUUUUGAGAAGUUGUUAAUGGACUUUAUUGGACUGCCAAAAAAAUAUAUAUAUGAUGAAAAAAGGGAGAGGAAAAAGUCUAAGAACUCUAGGAUCAAUUGAUGUGAAGAUCCUUCCCCUCAAGAUGAGUAUAAACUAAAGGCAAAAUCAAGUGAACAGAACAAAGAGAAAAUUUUAUCCAAUAGCACCAUUAUAAAGGCCGAAAACUUUGAAAGAUUUAAGAGCUCUGAUGAACCCCGUGACCAACCAAAACUGCAAUGGAACCAUGAUGAAAUAUGCUACCCAGAUCUUCCUAGAGAGGGCUUUGCCAUGGUAUUAUCUUCUCUUCCCAGUCAGAAAUCCAAGUGAGGUGGGCAGGCAGUUCUUUCACUCCAAAGUGUUUUGCACUCAAGCUAUUCCUCCAGUCCCAACUGCCUCUGCUGCAGCCAGUCCUGUCUCUGUCCAAUCUCCACACUCCACUGCCCAGGCUCUGCACUCCUCAGCCUCAGGUUCCAAGUCUCAAUGCCAAGGCCUUGCACUGCUCUCAGGGCGCUCUGCAAUGAUAGUUUGGAAAGAGAUGCAGAAAUUUCCUGUUACUCUGCUGCUGUAUUAUCUCCAUCCCAAGAAUGUCAAGAGAAUUAAAGGGGAAAAAUGUGAAGGAAACUGGCCUAGCCAUACCAAACUUCAAAUUAUAUCACAAAAUGGUCUUUAAAAAAUCUGGUCCUGGCUAAGAAACUGAGUAGUGGGUCAGUGGAAUAGAUGACAUACACAAUGCGCAGGAGGAAAUGACAUUGUAAUCUAGUGCUUGAUCAGUUUAUUUAAAUAUGAAAAGCAGUGUAUUAUAUGUGUGUGUGUGUGUGUGUGUGUGUGUGAUCAUGGGGUCUUCUACUAUUUAUUACAGAAUAAUUGAUGGGCAUAUGUUAUAGACAAGAUCAUUAACAACAACCAAAAAUUAACUAUGUUAAGCUUUUACUCAUCUUAGGUAUACUGACCUUAGGACUUUUCAGAAGUUGCCAUUUUUCCAUCUUUUGUACCAUACAUUUAUUGUAGUAUUGACAGAUAACACAUGUUGAUUGUUUAUUUGAUUCCAUAGUAUAUUGAUAAACUCCUGUGCACAAUAUCAUUGCAACUUUACCUUGCAUUGUUUUGAGGAAUUAUGGCAGUAAAAAUGCACAUCAUCCAACUGUUUCCCUAUCAGCACUGCACACAAGGUGGGAGUAUGAGGUUGUUUUGUAAAUCACAGAUAUUAUCCAAAAGCCUAAAUGGUUUAGACAAAUUGAGG